rnacentral:rRNA from 1 species
GAUGAACGCUGGCGGCGUGCCUAAUACAUGCAAGUCGAGCGAACGGACGAGAAGCUUGCUUCUCUGAUGUUAGCGGCGGACGGGUGAGUAACACGUGGAUAACCUACCUAUAAGACUGGGAUAACUUCGGGAAACCGGAGCUAAUACCGGAUAAUAUUUUGAACCGCAUGGUUCAAAAGUGAAAGACGGUCUUGCUGUCACUUAUAGAUGGAUCCGCGCUGCAUUAGCUAGUUGGUAAGGUAACGGUUUACCAAGGCAACGAUGCAUAGCCGACCUGAGAGGGUGAUCGGCCACACUGGAACUGAGACACGGUCCAGACUCCUACGGGAGGCAGCAGUAGGGAAUCUUCCGCAAUGGGCGAAAGCCUGACGGAGCAACGCCGCGUGAGUGAUGAAGGUCUUCGGAUCGUAAAACUCUGUUAUUAGGGAAGAACAUAUGUGUAAGUAACUGUGCACAUCUUGACGGUACCUAAUCAGAAAGCCACGGCUAACUACGUGCCAGCAGCCGCGGUAAUACGUAGGUGGCAAGCGUUAUCCGGAAUUAUUGGGCGUAAAGCGCGCGUAGGCGGUUUUUUAAGUCUGAUGUGAAAGCCCACGGCUCAACCGUGGAGGGUCAUUGGAAACUGGAAAACUUGAGUGCAGAAGAGGAAAGUGGAAUUCCAUGUGUAGCGGUGAAAUGCGCAGAGAUGUGGAGGAACACCAGUGGCGAAGGCGACUUUCUGGUCUGUAACUGACGCUGAUGUGCGAAAGCGUGGGGAUCAAACAGGAUUAGAUACCCUGGUAGUCCACGCCGUAAACGAUGAGUGCUAAGUGUUAGGGGGUUUCCGCCCCUUAGUGCUGCAGCUAACGCAUUAAGCACUCCGCCUGGGGAGUACGACCGCAAGGUUGAAACUCAAAGGAAUUGACGGGGACCCGCACAAGCGGUGGAGCAUGUGGUUUAAUUCGAAGCAACGCGAAGAACCUUACCAAAUCUUGACAUCCUUUGACAACUCUAGAGAUAGAGCUUUCCCCUUCGGGGGACAAAGUGACAGGUGGUGCAUGGUUGUCGUCAGCUCGUGUCGUGAGAUGUUGGGUUAAGUCCCGCAACGAGCGCAACCCUUAAGCUUAGUUGCCAUCAUUAAGUUGGGCACUCUAAGUUGACUGCCGGUGACAAACCGGAGGAAGGUGGGGAUGACGUCAAAUCAUCAUGCCCCUUAUGAUUUGGGCUACACACGUGCUACAAUGGACAAUACAAAGGGCAGCGAAACCGCGAGGUCAAGCAAAUCCCAUAAAGUUGUUCUCAGUUCGGAUUGUAGUCUGCAACUCGACUACAUGAAGCUGGAAUCGCUAGUAAUCGUAGAUCAGCAUGCUACGGUGAAUACGUUCCCGGGUCU